GCACUGCUGAGGAGUCCCACAAUAGGACAAAACAGCAGUCCAGUGC
rnacentral:hammerhead_ribozyme from 1 species